CGCAGAUCAGCAAAGCUGCGGUGAAUACGUUCCCGGGCCUUGUACACACCGCCCGUCACACCACGGGAGUCGGUCGCGCCUGAAGCCGGUGGCCUAUCAGUAAUGGGGGAGCCGUCUAUGGCGAGAUUGGUAACUGGGGUGAAGUCGUAACAAGGUACC
rnacentral:rRNA from 1 species